ensembl:lncRNA
GUAGUACUUGAACCAAAAAAAAAAAAAAAAAGUUGUUGCUGAUGCCCCAUCUCCAUGAGGUGGUGGUGCGCGUGUCCCGCCUCAGGCUUCUCCGUUUCCCACACGGGGCUGCCUGGUGCGCCUCCAUGCUUGGAGAGCUCUGCACCCCCGCGCUUCCGGCCCCAAUGCCAAUACCAUAUUCUGACUUCUGUGCGGAAGCCAGCCACUCCAGAAGGCUAUGUAUUUCAAGUUUUCCAUACCAGAAGAACUGCACAUAGAUGAAGAUGCAUUUCAUCAACCCUGCAAGAAACAAACACCAAAACAAAACCCCGGAGCAACUGCACCACUUUCUUGAAAUCUUUCCAGCAAAUGAAGACAUUAUUAUGCUUCUCACAAAUACGGCUUAUUGAAAUCAGAAGGAGACAUUCUUUUCAAGUAAAGAAAUUGCUGAUUUCAAAAUUUAUUGAGUGGGAUUUUUGCAUGACCUAUUGGAGCUGUAGUGAAGAAGAAGAGAAAGAAAACAACCGUAAACUGUCUUUGGGGAGAUGGUGCAAUAGGUUCAACAGGUGAUAUGAGGAGCCUUCCUGAAGUCUUGCUCCCACAACUAGGACGACCACAGCUACACCAUUUCUGCAUCUGAAAGACAUUUAUUUUUUUUCUUCUUAUAUGUGCUCUAUUUGCCUGCAUCUCAGACGUUCUAGAGCUGUAAAAAUGGGGUUUUCCCCAAUAAAUAUUUAAUCUCACUGACUGCAAGGAUCAUCUCGGGGGCACAAGUCUUUCUGCCUCGCUCUGUGGCCUUGGUUAAGUUACUUCUCUGUACUAAGUUUUCUCAGUUUUUCUCAUCUGUAAAGUAUGAGACUAAUUGCCUCAUAGGAUUGUUGUAAUAAUUAAAUAUAAUAAAGCAUGUAAAAUGCUU